UCCUGGGGCCCCUCUGCCCACCCCACACCCAGACAGUUUCUGGACCUUUUUUAUAGCCACUCAGCAGGGCAGACGGCAUGGCAGGUUCAUGCACGGAGUAUACAACAAGGGUCCCUUCUGGCCUCUUGUACACACAUCCUGGCCCCAAGCACCAGGAGAGCCCAGCGCUCCUCACUUCUCCCAUGAGGGAAAGAGCAGGCUAGACCCAUGGACCAAAAGCCUUUGUCCUCAAAAUCAAAAACGCCUUGUGGCACACAUGGUCCCCAUUGUCCCACUGGGCCAAGGCUUCCCAGGAAGUAAGGAGUGUUGAUGGGUGCCCAGCCAUAACUGGGAACCCUCAGCCUCUCUUCUUUUGCUCAGGCCCACCAGGAGUCUGUCCCGAACCCAGGGGCUCUAUCUUUCUCACUAGUUGCUCAGAGGGUCACUCUUGGUGACCCACAGGAUAACCAAGGGUGCCCGUUCCUGGCUGUCCCGCCACCCUGAGGGUUUCUGUUCUCCACAUGAGUGCAAUAUUUCAUUCCUGGUGGUCGUUGGAAGAGAUGACCACCACGGUCCUGCUCACAGCUAGGGAACCAAUCAGGAAGGCGGUGACUUAAGAAUCCAGAGCCAGGGCUGGCACUAGAAAGGCUGCUCGGAUCCCCAGUACCAGGAGCCCCGGAGCAAGUAGAAAUGCUCUUUGUUCUGUGUGCCGCCUUCUCCGUGUCCCCUCUGCUGAGCUGUCCUCUGUGUCUGUCUUCAUCUUUAGCCCACCCCCACCCUGUUCCUUCCUUUCUGUGUGUACAUUCGAAUAGCGUGACCCUUCCUCCCCAACUGUGGCUAACGUGGUAAAAAAAAAAAAAAAAAAAAAAAAAAAGCACGAUUCUUGUAAAUGUGUAAACUAAGAGGCUGGUUGGAUUUUUUUUUUUCCAAUGUAAACACUAAAUACAAAACAAGACAAAAAAAAAAAAAACAAAGGUUUUAUGAACAGCAAACUCUAUGUAAAGGCAUUUUACUAUUAAAUUUUUUAUUGAUAACUUGCUUAAGAAUAAAUAUAUGACUAUUGUACAGGU
rnacentral:lncRNA from 1 species